GACGUAGGGCGCAAGCGUUGUCCGGAUUUAUUGGGCGUAAAGAGCUCGUAGGCGGCUUGUUGCGUCGGCUGUGAAAACCCGCGGCUUAACUGUGGGCUUGCAGCCGAUACGGGCGGGCUGGAGUUCGGUAGGGGAGACUGGAAUUCCUGGUGUAGCGGUGAAAUGCGCAGAUAUCAGGAGGAACACCGGUGGCGAAGGCGGAUCUCUGGGCCGAUACUGACGCUGAGGAGCGAAAGCGUGGGGAGCGAACAGG
rnacentral:rRNA from 1 species